rnacentral:rRNA from 1 species
GAUGAACGCUGGCGGCGUGCCUAAUACAUGCAAGUCGAGCGAACAGACGAGGAGCUUGCUCCUCUGACGUUAGCGGCGGACGGGUGAGUAACACGUGGAUAACCUACCUAUAAGACUGGGAUAACUUCGGGAAACCGGAGCUAAUACCGGAUAAUAUAUUGAACCGCAUGGUUCAAUAGUGAAAGACGGUUUUGCUGUCACUUAUAGAUGGAUCCGCGCCGCAUUAGCUAGUUGGUAAGGUAACGGCUUACCAAGGCAACGAUGCGUAGCCAACCUGAGAGGGGGAUCGGCCACACUGGAACUGAGACACGGUCCAGACUCCUACGGGAGGCAGCAGUAGGGAAUCUUCCGCAAUGGGCGAAAGCCUGACGGAGCAACGCCGCGUGAGUGAUGAAGGUCUUCGGAUCGUAAAACUCUGUUAUUAGGGAAGAACAAAUGUGUAAGUAACUAUGCACGUCUUGACGGUACCUAAUCAGAAAGCCACGGCUAACUACGU